ACGUUCCUGCAGCCGCGAACUGACUACAUUUACUAUUGUCGCACCUGUUACUGCAUCUGAUGCUAUUAUUUGUAGCAACAGCGGCAGCAGCAGCCCCGCUGCUGCUCGCGGCUUUCGCAAAUGCGCCAACACAACUAGAAACUUCGCGGUGAAAAGCACAUGAAAAAUGACUCCAAUUCGCAAGAAAUUCGGCUUCAAUUUAACUUCAAAUCAUUAAAAAAUCCAAUAAGACCUCCCAUCCUAGAUUUUACCAUUAAAAAUUAACAAAAAUCAUAAAUAAGAAAAUAACAAUUAUUAUAAUUCUAACCUGAGUGUUGAAACGCCAAAAAUCACACGCGCGAGCCAAGCAUCAAAACCAAUUCCUUCUCUUAUUCUUUUUCUUCUUCUCUUUCUUUUCCCUUUUUCUCUCUAU
rnacentral:lncRNA from 1 species